rnacentral:misc_RNA from 1 species
GGAAGUAAAAGUUCGUAACAAGGUCUCCGUAGGUGAACCUGCGGAGGGAUCACUACAGGCUUGCAAAAGCUCUGAAACCACUGUUUAUCUACCUGAAUCUGCUUCGGCGGGCGGCCCCAGGGCGGGGCCGUUGCCGCAAGGCGCCCGCCGAAGACCCCUAAACUCUGUCGUCUUGAGAAUCUCUGAGUAUCAUAUUAAACAAAAAAACAACUUUCAACAACGGAUCUCUUGGCUCUG